rnacentral:rRNA from 1 species
CCCUAAAUCCCUUUUCGAAAAUCGAGUUCACUCCCAACCCCAAUGUGAACGUUACCAAUCUGUUGCCUCGGCGGGAUUCUCUUGCCCCGGGCGCGUCGCAGCCCCGGAUCCCAUGGCGCCCGCCGGAGGACCAACUCCAAACUCUUUUUUUCUCUCCGUCGCGGCUCCCGUCGCGGCUCUGUUUUAUUUUUGCUCUGAGCCUUUCUCGGCGACCCUAGCGGGCGUCUCGAAAAUGAAUCAAAACUUUCAACAACGGAUCUCUUGGUUCUGGCAUCGAUGAAGAACGCAGCGAAAUGCGAUAAGUAAUGUGAAUUGCAGAAUUCAGUGAAUCAUCGAAUCUUUGAACGCACAUUGCGCCCGCCAGUAUUCUGGCGGGCAUGCCUGUCCGAGCGUCAUUUCAACCCUCGAACCCCUCCGGGGGGUCGGCGUUGGGGAUCGGCCCCUCACCGGGCCGCCCCCGAAAUACAGUGGCGGUCUCGCCGCAGCCUCUCCUGCGCAGUAGUUUGCACACUCGCACCGGGAGCGCGGCGCGGCCACAGCCGUAAAACACCCCAAACUUCUGAAAUGUUGACCUCGGAUCAGGUAGGAAUACCCGCUGAACUUAAGCAUAUCAAUAAGCGAGGGAA